AACCUCCUCAAGCUCUGCUUGGUGUUGGGCGUUUGUCCCGCCUCCCCGGCGCAGACUCGCCUCAAAAACAUUGGCAGCCGUCACCCUGGCUUCGAGCGCAGCACAUUCGCGCCCGGCACCUAAGUGGCGGCUCCCAGAAGCCCACCCCCUC
rnacentral:misc_RNA from 1 species